GGGUUGUGAGGUUAAGCGACUAAGCGUACACGGUGGAUGCCCUGGCAGUCAGAGGCGAUGAAGGACGUGCUAAUCUGCGAAAAGCGUCGGUAAGGUGAUAUGAACCGUUACAGCCGGCGAUGUCCGAAUGGGGAAACCCAGUGCAAUUCGUUGCACUAUCGUUAACUGAAUACAUAGGUUAACGAGGCGAACCGGGGGAACUGAAACAUCUAAGUACCCCGAGGAAAAGAAAUCAACCGAGAUUCCCCCAGUAGCGGCGAGCGAACGGGGAGCAGCCCGGAGUCUGAAUCAGCUUGUGUGUUAGUGGAAGCGUCUGGAAAGUCGCAGGGUACAGGGUGAUACUCCCGUACACUAAAACACACAGGCUGUGAACUCGAAGAGUAGGGCGGGACACGUGGUAUCCUGUCUGAAUAUGGGGGGACCAUCCUCCAAGGCUAAAUACUCCUGACUGACCGAUAGUGAACCAGUACCGUGAGGGAAAGGCGAAAAGAACCCCGGCGAGGGGAGUGAAAAAGAACCUGAAACCGUGUACGUACAAGCAGUAGGAGCCC
rnacentral:rRNA from 1 species